rnacentral:tRNA from 1 species
GAGGCUAUGGCUCAGUGGUAGAGUGCUCAAUUUGCAUGUGUGAGGUCCUGAGUUCAAUUCUCAGCAUCA